CACGUCGUUCCGAACCAGUCAUCAAGACAGCAGCAGAUCGAGGAGCGGAAAGCCCCUAGUACCUCUCACAGCGAAUGAAUCUGGACUUGUGUGCCAAGUCGCCUGGCGUUCGGCUUCGGCCCAACCCGCAGCUCUUCCGUGCGCAUCUCAUCUCCUCUGGAGGUCAACCGCCGCGUCCAUGGCUGCCAUGCUGGAGCCUUGAACCUGCCGGCGCCGCACGCUGCAGCCCUCGUCUCGACUCUCGAUCUGCUGAGCGGCCAGGCUGAUGGACAGCGUGGUGUGUCGCAAGGAAACCACGGGGCCAGGCUACCGAGUGACCAGGAUGGCCAGCAUGAACAUCCUGCACUGCAUUACCAAAGAAAAGAUGGCAAACUCAAGAUGAUCAUAUACUAUCUGUUCGCAUGACUGUUAAGCAUGCACUGUAAUGUUUAUCUGUUGCUUGUCUGCUUCAUUGCUACUAAAUUAUAUUGUAACUGACCAACCUUUGUGACCUACCAUCUUCCACUUUGCUGUGAUCAUCAGCACUUUAACUUA